rnacentral:misc_RNA from 1 species
GGCUCACUCAGGAAGAAGGGUCAGGAUACACGACAGGAUGCUUAGAGAGGUGGACAGAAAAGGAAGAUGGAUGAAGUUGCAGCAGGAGGAACCUGGGUAUCCCGGGAAAAAAGAUUCCAGUUUUCAUAAAUGGAAAAAAACCUUUACUAUCACUAACCUGGCGGAGGGGAAGUGUGGCAGGGCAUUAUGAUGCAUCUUGAAU